rnacentral:misc_RNA from 1 species
GACUAUGGAUGGUUGAGCUCAGGAGUUUACAAAUGUGACAGGCCGAAACCCAUCGGCGGGCUUAUCGCCUUGAGGUGUAGUAAAACACCCCAGCGGCUCCAAGGUCCCGCCAGUAGACGUUCAACAGUUCACAAAGUGUGGAUGGACAUGAGCUCCACUAAAAGUGUCACUCAGUCUCUACAGUAAUGAUCCAUCCGCAGGUUCACCUACGGAUACCUUGUUACGACUUUUACUUCCUCUAAAUGACCAAGA